UAUGGGAGCUGGCUUGCCUGCGAUGCGCACGACUCGGUAUUUCAGAUACACCGAGAUGAUGCUAUCGCAGGCAAGCCAGCUCCCACA
rnacentral:misc_RNA from 1 species